GCUUGGCACAUUGGCACAUGCCUGUAAUCCCAGCUGCUUGGGAGGCUGAAACAGGAGGCUUCCAAGUUCAAAGCCAGCCUCAGCAAUUUAGCAAGACCCUGUCUCAA
rnacentral:sRNA from 1 species